GAAGCAUGACGUUCAGAGAGGUGAAGCAAUCCUCUCGCCCCGGAGGUUGUUGUCGGAGAAGCCGAAUAUAUUGCUUACGUCAUGUCCCCCGCUCGGUGUCCCCACGGUUGUUGUGACAAGAGAAGGAAGCAAAGUGACACUCGCACCUACCCUCGAGUCGCCUCAUAUUUCUUGUCGUGGUCACCUGCUGCGUGGAAGCUGAGCGUGCGCGCGUCGAGGUCUGAGGUCAACAUCGUCAUUGAUACUGAUACCCGAGGUCUAACUCCUAGAGAGACGACGCUCUUCCCCAUCGUGCACAGCAUCUACCUUCAAACAUCUAGAAAGUUUCUGUUAACAACUAAGACAUGACAACGCCCGGGAGGACUUGACCUCGACAGCAGGUCUUGAUGGGGACAGCUUGAUUCAUGCACCAGACAAUGGUUUAUAAAGAAGCCUGUCUACAUUACACAGCCGAGGUCUAGUAUCACAAACUAUCUGCCCAGACGAGUGCAUCAUCUUCACUCAUUGUGUUUCUAACCCCACCAAGCAUCUACGAUGACAGUUCGCGUGUCUUGGUCACACAGCUAUACCUGCAGCCCUGCCUGAUGAAAACUGUUCUUCCAGCCCUGCCUGGAUCACGAAACUGAACUACAAACUGUUCCUAUCAAAGGACAGGUUCUGUGCAGCUGAAUGUACCCAAUCAAUAAGCACUGUGCCAGGGACAAAGUUAUCCAAGGUUUCUCAAACAAACAACACACCAUUUCCUGUGUUACUGCCCAGUGACCGAAGCAGUGUAAAGUAUAAAACUUUCCAUUUGUUUUCUUACUCCAAACAUGAAGACUUUCUAUAACUGUUGUCUUCUUUUGUGUGCAUUUUUUGCUCACUUGCUUAUUAACUGUGGUCAUGCUGAAGAGGACAACCCUUUGAGCAUUAGCGCUCCGGUGGUGGCUGUUGAAAUAGGAGAAAGUCUGUCAAUUACUUGUGUAGACAAUGAUACUUAUGUUGUGGAGUGGUAUGCUGUAGAAAGCCCUGCUUGUCCGAUUCCCCAAAAUCAGUCACUAAGAGUGAGGUCUGAAAACAACACUUUAAUAAUCAGUGAUGUCCACUUCAAUGAUUCUGGCGACUAUGAAUGUCGCAUGGUCAACAGCACUUACAAUGUUACAGUUACCGUCAAAGCAUAUGUGAUGCCAACGUACUUAACGGAAGGGAUAAUUGUUGUGGGCACAGGUGGUGGAGUCCUUGUCCUCUUCCUAUUGUGUCUUUUAAUAUCUUUUGUCUUAAACAGGAGAUCAAGCAAAAAGUAAGGCAUUCAUCACUUCACCCUGCUUUCAUUUUUACAUUUAUAACCACCCUUGUGCCUACACAGACUGUGAUCUGUAAAUGCUUUGUUAUAUAUAUAUCUACUGCCAUUUGCAAUAGUUGUAGAACUUAAAAUCAGAAAAAUUAUCCUUAGCUUCACCCAUAUUAUAAACUGCAUUAUAUCCUCACAUCCUUGAGAUUAUCUCACACUGAGCCUGGAUCACGAACAUACUUCACCCCACAGUGUUAUAAAUAGCCUGGGUUCAGUGCGCUUAUUCUAAUUCAUUCACAUGUACAUGGCCUAAACUCUAUAGUUGUAUCUUCAACAAGUAGAACAUGUGUCAUACAGACUAUUAUAUCUUUUACACAAACUGUAGCCUGUUGUGUUUACUCACUCUAUUCUGCAACAAUUAGACCACAAUGUUGUCUAGUACUUUGUGACAUGCAAAGUAUCACAUCAUGGACUAUGUAUUUCAAUACUGGAGUACCCUGAGUACACUGGUUCAUUUCUAGGCUUGGCCCAAAAGUACUUGGAAAAUGGUCUCAGGAUUGCCAAACUACUACCUUUGGUUAUUGCUUGUGGGUUGCCUGCUUAAAAUGUUUGUGAAUAAACCAUCAAGAAUCGAGCAUGCGUUGUGAUUAAAUAUGCCGCUUCGCAUUUCUACUAAAACAUUUCUGUGUGUUAUUCCUGCCCCCCUCCCCACACCAUCACACCUUAAAAAAAUAACAGCUUCAGCAUUAUAUCCCGUGGCCCUCAUUUGAUUUUCAUUUCCUUGAUUUUACAUUAUCUGUAAAGUGAAAACUGCUGUCUUGUUGCAUGUGUUAUAUAUUGUAUUCAUACAUAUAUAUGUUAAUUAUUUUUAAACCUCUUCUGUCAUCAUCAAAUGAUAAAGAAUACAGAAAGAAAUAAAAUGACAAUUCUCUGAAAGACAUCGGUAAAAAUGAACUGUUUUACUAUAUUUCAAAUAAACUGCCUUUUCCGAAAGAUUGUCAAUGGUGUUUCCAUGGUAAUUUUUAGACAAAAGUUAUUCAUGCUGCAGUGAAGAGAUACCCAUGGAAGUGCUGCGUGAUUUGUUAGUUUAUUUUGUUGUUCCAGGAGGGAAGGGAGGGAGUGGAGAAGUGGGAGACACAGUAUCCUUUUACCCAAGCCCAAAAUUCAAUGAUUUACAUCCCAGUAUAAUCAGAAGCAAUGAAAAUUACCCUGGUAGUUGAACCUCAAUUUGCAAAACAAUUUUUCAACAAUCUUUAUCAAUGGGAGGAGGGGGAGAAAAGAAAAAACCAGAUUCUUAUUUCAAGAAAUGACAUAUGCCUCUAGAGAAAUGACGGUGAGUAUUAUCUCUGCAGAAAAAUGUGAUAAGGACAUAGUAAAGCUAAAUGAACAUCUUUGCAAACAAGCUUUUCUGUUGCAGGAAUAAGCCUUGCUGAGGAGAUUAAGGCGGCAUUCCAUCCUCUUAACAUCUCAAACACACACACAAACAUGGGAACAAUUUGCCCACCUUUGCCAGACAAUUUGUGGAACGGAAUCAUAUCACAGCCAACAAGAGUGCUCUAAUAAGCCAUUUAAGUCUAAAUAAAGGUUUUAAGAGAG